rnacentral:rRNA from 1 species
CGUCGCCACGGGAAUACGGAGGGUGCAAGCGUUAAUCGGAAUUACUGGGCGUAAAGCGCACGCAGGCGGUCUGACAAGUCAGAUGUGAAAUCCCCGGGCUUAACCUGGGAACUGCAUUUGAAACUGUCAGGCUGGAGUCUUGUAGAGGGGGGUGGAAUUCCAGGUGUAGCGGUGAAAUGCGUAGAGAUCUGGAGGAAUACCGGUGGCGAAGGCGGCCCCCUGGACAAAGACUGACGCUCAGGUGCGAAAGCGUGGGGAGCAAACAGGAUUAGAUACCCCGGUAGUCCCUGUCUCUUAUACA